rnacentral:rRNA from 1 species
UACGUAGGUCCCGAGCGUUAUCCGGAUUUAUUGGGCGUAAAGCGAGCGCAGGCGGUUGGAUAAGUCUGAAGUUAAAGGCUGUGGCUCAACCAUAGUAUGCUUUGGAAACUGUUCAACUUGAGUGCAGAAGGGGAGAGUGGAAUUCCAUGUGUAGCGGUGGAAUGCGUAGAUAUAUGGAGGAACACCGGUGGCGAAAGCGGCUCUCUGGUCUGUAACUGACGCUGAGGUUCGAAAGCGUGGGUAGCAAACAGG